rnacentral:rRNA from 1 species
GACGAACGCUGGCGGCGUGCUUAACACAUGCAAGUCGAACGGAAAGGCCCUGCUUUUGUGGGGUGCUCGAGUGGCGAACGGGUGAGUAACACGUGAGUAACCUGCCCUUGACUUUGGGAUAACUUCAGGAAACUGGGGCUAAUACCGGAUAGGAGCUCCUGCUGCAUGGUGGGGGUUGGAAAGUUUCGGCGGUGGGGGAUGGACUCGCGGCUUAUCAGCUUGUUGGUGGGGUAGUGGCUUACCAAGGCUUUGACGGGUAGCCGGCCUGGGAGGGUGACCGGCCACAUUGGGACUGAGAUACGGCCCAGACUCCUACGGGAGGCAGCAGUGGGGAAUAUUGCACAAUGGGCGGAAGCCUGAGGCAGCAACGCCGCGUGCGGGAUGACGGCCUUCGGGUUGUAAACCGCUUUCGCCUGUGACGAAGCGUGAGUGACGGUAAUGGGUAAAGAAGCACCGGCUAACUACGUG